rnacentral:rRNA from 1 species
AUUGAACGCUGGCGGCAGGCCUAACACAUGCAAGUCGAACGAGUGGCGGACGGGUGAGUAAUGUCUGGGAAACUGCCUGAUGGAGGGGGAUAACUACUGGAAACGGUAGCUAAUACCGCAUACCAUCAGAUGUUCCCAGAUGGGAUUAGCUAGUUGGUGGGGUAACGGCUCACCAAGGCGACGAUCCCUAGCUGGUCUGAGAGGAUGACCGGCCACAAUGGAACUGAGACAAGGUCCAGACUCCGACGGGAGGCAGAAGUGGGGAAUAGUGCACAAUGGGAGCAAGCCUGAUGCAGCCAUGCCGCGUGUAUGAAGAAGGCCGUCGGGUUGUAAAGUACUGUCAGCGGGGAGGCGUUACCAGCAGAAGAAGCAACGGCGAACUCCGUGCCAGCAGCCGCGGUAAUUC